GAAAAUCGCAGCAGCUCUUAUCGUGGUGGGAAGGCGCAUGGGCAGGAUGGUGUAACCAUCCGGCGAUAGCCACCCAUGCGCUAGAUGACAGGCUCCCCAGGGGCCUUUUUUUAUGCCCGAAA
rfam:Rhizobium sp. R72 R711_NODE_12, whole genome shotgun sequence.